rnacentral:lncRNA from 10 species
AUUUUAUUGAGCAACAAGUCUUUCCCAGGGCCCCUUUUGUCACACCGUAUAAGUGGCUACUUUCUUGUAGUUGGAGUUCCUUGCUCUGAAGAAAAUUGGUUCCAACAGGACUUUGUAACAAUGUCAUCACCCAGAGAGAACCACAAUCUGCAUCUCAUUUCCAGAGUAUCUCUGAGCACAUAAUGGAGAUGGUUACAAGCUCUAUAAAGCAAGACUUAAUCUGUCUAAACGUCUGUGUGACCGUUGUUUCUUAAAGGCUGAACUGAACCCUUUCUUCCCCACCUCCCACCUUCCACUGGAGCCAAGCAGGAAUGGAGUGAUACGGUGGGAGAAGCAGAAGCAGCAGUUCCUCUGAUCAUAUGUGGCUGUGUAUCAGCAGUUUCUCCUACACUUCAAGAAGAAUCAUGAUGCAACAGUGAGCUGCAGGCAUGGAGGUCACAAAGAGCCCACCCCAGCCCCAGGAGAACUGAGAAGGGGUCUGUAAGAAGCUCUAAGUAUCUCUUCUUUACAGUUCCCUCUGGUAAUCUGAAAUUCCCUCCAGUCUAUAGAAAGACAGAUGCUGGGAAUCAGUGUCCCCCACCCCAACCCAAACCCAGCAGGGUUCAGGAACUAUUAGCUGUCCAGAAUCACUGCUCAUGAAGUGCUGCAGGGAGUGGCCAGAGGCUGGCAGGUAGCCUGGGCCAUGCCAACAUGGCCUUAUCUGCUGUAUGUCAUCUCCCAAAGGUGAUGGGAGCUACUGAAGAACGUUGAGGAGGAGGUGACACCGGGAAGGUCACUCUGAACCAUGGAGGGUUAGGAGCAGAGAGGAGGGCACAAUGAGGCAAAAGUGCCUGUAAGGAGUUUCCCCUGUAAGGAUUCACCCCAAAACUCUGGCUAGGGCAGCAAGGAUGGAAAAAAAGAGAGGGACUCAAGAGAUGUUUAGGAGGUGACACAUAGGGCCUUAUGAUUAACUACAUAUGACAGACAAAAGGAAAGACGGAUUCAAGCUUGACCCAGGGUUCCAGCCUGGGCAGCUGGCUGGCUGGUGGUGUCAUUCUGGAGGCUGAGAACAAGAGAGAGAGAAGUUUGCAGAAGAGAGGAGCUCACUUUGGGUUUGAGGUCUGGGAUAUCUAAGGCAAGACGCCCAAGAGGUAUGGAUAUCAGGAAAGAAAGCCAGUCUGGAGAGAGAGAUUGGGAGUCAGCCGACUAUAAGAAGGCACAUUUCCUAGGCAACAGGAGCCUGGAGUCAAAAAUAGCAUGACAGUGAGUCACCCAGGACAGCCUUUCUCUGCCUCUGCCUCCUCCCACUAUUAGGGAACUCCAGCCCCUCUCAACAUAUUCCAGGGAAUCCUGGCAAACCCUGGUAUAUGUGGGGGCAGGUGGGGGGGAACAGGAGGUUACAUAAACUUACUUCUUGUACUAGACUUCUGUGCCACCUGGUAUCCAUGGUUCCCCCUUCCCUGCUCCUGCUCACUAUGGUGGCGUCCUGGACCACCCAAGACUCAGAGCCAUGCCUAGGUCCAGAUGCUCAUUCCAGGAGCCACCACAGUUUCCCUGUCUCACUGGGACCAAAGUACCCACUGUCAAGGGCAUUGCUGUCUGCAUUGAAAAGGAACAAAUGCACAAAAAGCAUGUGAGGUAUGACCACAAUUAGAAGUAGCUUCACUGGAAACCAACAGGACCCAGCCCAACCCUAGUCCCUCACCAGCCAAGCCUUUUCUAGGUCCUGGUCUGCCUCUAGAUCAGGGCUAAUUCAUUCAGCCUCCACCCCCACCAUCACCAACAACACCAACGCUACCAUCACCAGGAAGGUCCCCAGCAUCUCUGCCCCAGUCCCCACUGACACCCUGGCCCCUAUCCAAGCAUGCCUCUCCUACUUCAGGGUUAGCAUCUUUCCACAAUGAUAGACAUUGGGAACAUCCCUUUGCUACAAGGAAAAAAGACCCUAAUCCCACACUGUGCAAUCUGAAGGCAUAGCCCAAGUAGACAAUAACACCCACCAUCUGGAUUACUCCGUCUUAAAUAGCAUCAUCUGUGGGUCCACCAUGA